UGGGGAAUAUUGGACAAUGGGCGCAAGCCUGAUCCAGCAAUGCCGCGUGAGUGAUGAAGGCCUUAGGGUUGUAAAGCUCUUUUACCCGUGAUGAUAAUGACAGUAGCGGGAGAAUAAGCCCCGGCUAACUCCGUGCCAGCAGCCGCGGUAAUACGGAGGGGGCUAGCGUUGUUCGGAAUUACUGGGCGUAAAGCGCACGUAGGCGGCUUUGUAAGUUAGAGGUGAAAGCCUGGAGCUCAACUCCAGAACUGCCUUUAAGACUGCAUCGCUUGAAUCCAGGAGAGGUGAGUGGAAUUCCGAGUGUAGAGGUGAAAUUCGUAGAUAUUCGGAAGAACACCAGUGGCGAAGGCGGCUCACUGGACUGGUAUUGACGCUGAGGUGCGAAAGCGUGGGGAGCAAACAG
rnacentral:rRNA from 1 species